rnacentral:miRNA from 1 species
UAAAACACAGCGAGUUGCACGAG